GACGAACGCUGGCGGCGUGCUUAACACAUGCAAGUCGAACGGAGAAGCACUGCUUGUGUUGUGGGCUCGAGGGGCAAGCGUGUGUAUAACGCGUGAAUAACGUGCCCUUCACUGUGGUAUGACUUGAAAACGCUGGGGAUAAUAGCAGAUAAGCUCUGCUGCUGCGGGGUGGGGGUGGGAAGAUUUCGGCGGUUGGGGUUGGACUCGCGGCUUAUCAGCUUGUUGGUGGGGUAUUGGCUUACCAAGGCUUGGACGGGUACCCGGCCUGAGAGGGUGACCGGCCACACUGGGACUGAGAAACGGCCCAGACUCCUACGGGAGGCAGCAGUGGGGAAUAUUGCACAAUGGGCGGAAGCCUGAUGCAGCAACGCCGCGUGCGGGAUGACGGCCUUCGGGUUGUAAACCGCUUUUGGCUGUGAAGAAGCGUGAGUGACGGUACCGGGUAAAGAAGCACCGGCUAACUACGUG
rnacentral:rRNA from 1 species